rnacentral:rRNA from 1 species
UACAGAGGGGGCAAGCGUUGUUCGGAAUUACUGGGCGUAAAGGGCGCGUAGGCGGCCUUCUAAGUCGAACGUGAAAUCCCCGGGCUCAACCCGGGAACUGCGUCCGAUACUGGAAGGCUUGAAUCCGGGAGAGGGAUGCGGAAUUCCAGGUGUAGCGGUGAAAUGCGUAGAUAUCUGGAGGAACACCGGUGGCGAAGGCGGCAUCCUGG